UUGAUCUAACAGUAUCUUAUAUUAUUGCUAUUAACCAGGAUAACCUGGUGAUACUCUGCAAGAAAGCAGAAUAGAAGUGGUAUAAAGCAAUGGGGCUGACCUCGGCAUAGUUGAUUGGGCAAAAUGGUUACUAUUAAUGGAAACAGAAGAAUUUACCAUUUAAUAUGCUGUUUAAAGAACAGCUAACUAUAACCAAUGAACCCCGAAUAUGUGAUGUAAAUAAUAUUUGCACCCACAUUUGGAUCUAUAAUAGUUAUCCCCUUGCCCCCCAAUACAUACCAGAGAUUUGUGGCUCUAAUCUAUUUUCCGCUCAACCUUGUUAGGUAGGUUGCACAGAAACAUAAAAUUAAUAGUUGGGAGUUUGGAUGUUGCAGUUCUUCUUUAAUCAAGUGGGUUCAUUAUACAUUUUCUCUCCUCUAAAAGGAAACAGCACAGGAAUCUGUUGAUAACGCCUGCCAGCCUGAACACGCUGAAAAUGAGCAAGUGAAUGCUCAAACCAACUAUGAGAACCUCGAAGCCUUCAAUGAGGACCAAUCAGAAGAAAGCCUCCCUCAGGAGGAAAAACAUAUGGAGCAGGAGCAGGAGCAGAGAGCUGAUGAAAGCCAAUGCCAGGAGAUAGCAGAGGAAUCAGGCACUAACACCUGCCAGCCUGAAAUAUCCAACAUCUAUGAGGAGCAAGUAAACAGCCAGG